rnacentral:rRNA from 1 species
AACGAACGCUGGCGGCAUGCCUAACACAUGCAAGUCGAACGAGACCUUCGGGUCUAGUGGCGCACGGGUGCGUAACGCGUGGGAACCUGCCCUUAGGCUCGGAAUAACUCCCCGAAAGGGGUGCUAAUACCGGAUAAUGUCUUCGGACCAAAGAUUUAUCGCCUUUGGAUGGGCCCGCGUUGGAUUAGCUAGUUGGUAGGGUAAAAGCCUACCAAGGCGACGAUCCAUAGCUGGUCUGAGAGGAUGAUCAGCCACACUGGGACUGAGACACGGCCCAGACUCUUACGGGAGGCAGCAGUGGGGAAUAUUGGACAAUGGGCGAAAGCCUGAUCCAGCAAUGGUGCGUGAGUGAUGAAGUCCUUAGGGUUGUAAAGCUCUUUUACCCGGGAUGAUAAUGACAGUACCGGGAGAAUAAGCUCCGGCUAACUCCGUG